rnacentral:misc_RNA from 1 species
GAUGAAGAACGUAGCGAAAUGCGAUAAGUAGUGUGAAUUGCAGAAUUCAGUGAAUCAUCGAAUCUUUGAACGCACAUUGCGCCCCUUGGUAUUCCAUGGGGCAUGCCUGUUCGAGCGUCAUUUGUACCUUCAAGCUCUGCUUGGUGUUGGGUGUUUGUCUCGCCUCUGCGUGUAGACUCGCCUCAAAACAAUUGGCAGCCGGCGUAUUGAUUUCGGAGCGCAGUACAUCUCGCGCUUUGCACUCAUAACGACGACGUCCAAAAGUACAUUUUUACACUCUUGACCUCGGAUCAGGUUGGGAUACCCGCUGAACUUAAGCAUAUCAAUAAGCGGAGGA